UCAAUUUUGCAGUAGAUACAUUAAAAUUGGAAUAAUACUGAGAUUAGAAGUGCCCCUACACAAGGAUUACAUGCAAAUUUAUGAAUUAUUCUAUUUUUUU
ensembl:snRNA U6 U6 spliceosomal RNA